CUAUGUCAUACUUUUAAAAACUGUGUUCAUAAAUUGAAGGAAAAUACAACAAGCUUGGUUUUUGCUUGUAUUUAUAUGGAGAAUUUUAGGAGACAGAAUACAAAUUCCCUUUUAGGAAACAUUAGUUUACAAAUACAAAUAAAGAAUAAAAUCUACUUAAUUGUACUCACAGAAAUAAACUUUACAUGCCCCAUUCAUUAUAGAUUCGUUUUUGUUUUAUUUGGUUUGUCAAACUGUAUGCGUCUGGUAAAGGUUGCCUUCAAAUUUCUAGUUGUUCAUUAUGGCUUUUUAAACCUUUGUUUGGGUAAAGUAAUUUUACAGUAUAAUGACAGGCUCAGCAGUUCCCAGGCUGCUCUCCGCACCUGCCACCCCAGAUUGGUUAUGGAUCACUAGCCACUCCCUCCAUCUUGUAAAAACUGCCUUGCAUAAACAUUAUCAAACUGAACUUUGAUCAUAAGUUUGAACGAGUUGCAAAAGAAAAAUUCAGUCACAGAUAAAAAUGCAAAAAAACAGCCGGAACAUAAGAUCCAAGAAGAGAAAACAGGUGGGAAAUACAUGCUUUCUGCUUAUCAACUGUCUCAAGCACAGAGUAAUACACAUCUCAAAGAUUUACUAAUCAUACCGGCUUCGAACCCUGGUCAUUAUUUACUCUGUAGGAGUAGCACAGCAGUUUAUACCUAGACACUGGAUUGAGAAAACUAGAUAUUUCAGUACUAAAAGGGGAUGUGGUGCCAGUGUAAUGUCAAAAGAAGAAAAUCUGUUAUUCCACAGGGGAUGCACAAACCAGUGUUUUUCUUCGUGCCU